rnacentral:sRNA from 1 species
UGGCUGGAGACCUCGUCAUCCGGGAGCUGAAGCAGCAGACCCUCUGCCGAUACCGUCUGGAGACCUUUAGUGAAUCCAGGAUAAGCGAGUGGACAUUUCAACCCUUUACUAACCACUCUGUGGAUGGGCCGCAAAGAGGCGCCUCCCCCAGGCUAUGGGACAUCAAGGUUCAGGUUCCUCCGAUGUUUCAGGAAGAUACCAGGAAGUUCCAGGUCCCUCACUCGUCAUUGGUCAAGGAAUGCCACAAAUGCCACGGGCGUGGGCGGUACAAGUGCAGCGGCUGCCAUGGGGCGGGCACGGUCCUGUAAGAGGGCCAAGGCCUGGGGUUCUUCUUAUCAGGGAGUCCCUGCCAGCCAGGGAAACCAACAAGUGACUCCAUUUGUCGUACAGGGCGGUGGGUGCUGAACAGGUGCGGUGCCCGUCCUGCUGCGGAGCCAAGCGCAAAGCCAAGCAGUCCCGGAGGUGUCAGCUGUGCGCGGGGUCCGGCAGGCGGAGGUAGGGGCGUCUCCCAGCACCGCGAUGAAGUGCUCUUGCUUU